GUCAUCUUUGUCCACAUGACCUUUCGAAGGACUUCAAGGACAAGGCUAUGCACCCUCUGGUAUUUGUCAUCUGGAAUGAUCUUUGGAGCCCUCCACAGGUCCACCUGGCAUCUCCCAAAACCACCAAAAGGCUGCAUGUGCACAUACCUCAACAAGGAUCUCCUUCCCAAAGGACAUCAGUGCCACCACAGUGGAGAGGGGUGGGGAGUGGCAUGUACCUGACAACGAGGGGAAUAGAAAAGAGGUUUUCACUCCAAGCUGAGAAGAAGUGGGGUCCUGGUGUCCACAGAGAGGAGUCCUGGUGUGCAUAGAAUGGAGGUGAGCAGGCUUUUUAAAGUCAGAAGACAGAGCAUAUUGUAAGGCAGAUGACUUCAUGUUGGGUCAGAAUCCUGGAGACUUAGCUGAACCAGAGAGUACGGAAGCAUGUGCGUUCUGAGUCCCCAGGCAAAGGGGGUGGAGGGACACAUCCUGAUGCAAGAGCAGGCAGGAAAACAUGGAGCGCAGUAAGAUUUUAGGUACAGGGGGGCAGAUGAGUGAUAUGAGAUCAGGACAGGAAGAGUCAGGAUCUUGGGGUCCAAAAUGCAUGGCAGGUUCACAGAGAAACAAAUCUAAGAGUAACACCUGCUUAUGAGCUUGCAGGUUUCUUCCCCCUCUCUGGGUUUUGCUUGGCGGUUCUCAAUUUGGCUGCACAUUAGAAUCACCUGGGGGAACUUUGAAAACUCCCAAUGCCCAGGCCAAGAAAUCAGACUCACUGUGUGGGGGACCCACCACCUGGAUUUCAAUGUUCCUCAGGUGAUUCAAAUGGGUAGCCAAGGAUGAGAAAAGUAGAAUUUUAGGUUUAAAAUAGUAGUAGGUUUAAAAAGUAGACUUUAUUAGAUUGCUGUUUUUACUAUAAAAGAAAUAUGGGCAUAUUAUAGAAGUUUGGAUGGAGCAAAGAUGUUGGGGGAGGGUGCCACCCAUUGCCCCAUGGCCUUGAGGCUGCUAUAGAUGGUGCAGCCUGUGCCUUAUUUGGGUCUCUGUUCCCAUAAUGGUGAACGACAGUUCACAGCCAGGGCAGGGCUGUGCUGCCGAGGAACACACAGGAUGUGAUGUAUUUUCUGUGUCCGUGGCCCUGUGUGGGCACAGUGAGGGCUGCACUCAAUAAAUGUUUGUAGGAUGAGUGAAUGGAAGCAGGAAGGCAUAAACUCAUGAAAAGCAGCCUAAGACAUGGUCCCUGCCCUCUAGGAACUUACAAAGGGGCAACUGAAUAGAUAUUAUAAUGACAAUAAUCAGAUGGCGAUAAUAGUCCCUGCAUCAGUGGCUCUGUGUGUCUGUGCAUGCAGCCCUGCAGCCAGGGAAACCAGGGGAAGGUUUUUGAAAACUCUGUUUGGUAGCUAGGGCCUCUCUUAUCUUUAUUAAUUCCCUGCAAGGCACUGACACACUGUCCCUUUCUUGAUAAAACAGGUAAACAGGAGCAGACCAAAAGCCAGUGAGGCAGGUUGCCAGUGGUACCCAGAGCCCACCUGAGUGGUCACAGCGAGGGCUGAGGGUCUGGAAAAUGAUCUAGACACCGAGCAGAGAAGAACCAGGACAAAUUGACCCUGACCAGAAUGGAACAUGCUGAGCACUCUGAUGAAGGUGACACUUUGAAGACAUGUGCCUUGAGCUGACAAGAGGUAGUUUCAAUAGUGAGCAAAUCCUUGAUUUCUUGAAGGUGUGGCUAUGGAAAGAUACCCCUAGGAAUAAGCAGAUCCUAAUGAUGAUCCCACUCCUCUGCUCCCCAGCUUUGCACCCUCAGUUUCCACAUCUGAACCACAAGCACAUAACUCCCAAAUAAAAUGCAUAGGUGGU